rnacentral:rRNA from 1 species
AUGGAAGCGUGGUUAAGCUUGUGUUUCAUAGCCCUGUCCGCGGUACUAGCCCUUUGGUUUCUCAAGCCCUCCAGCGGCGAGAGCAAGCCAGGCAAGCGGCUGCCACCUGGGCCAUGGACCCUGCCGAUCAUCGGCAGCCUCCACCACGUCGUGAGCGUCCUCCCGCACCAUACAAUGACAGAGCUGUCUCGCCGGUACGGGCCGCUGAUGCUCCUUAAGCUGGGCGAGCUCCCCACGGUGGUGGUUUCCAGCGCCGAGGCAGCUGCGCUGGUGAUGAAGACGCACGACGUCUCGUUCGCGAACCGGAAGAGCAGCGUGACGCUGGACAUCGCCGCCUGUGGCGGCAACGGCAUCGUCUUCGCCCCCUACGGCGACCGGUGGCGCCGGAUGCGCAAGAUCUGCGUCAUGGAGCUUCUCAGCUCCAAGUGCGUGAAGCGCAUGGAGGGCGUCAGGGCGGAGGAGGUGGGCCACCUCCUCCGCUCCAUUGCAGCCUCGAACGGCGCCGUCGUCAACGUCAGCCAGAAGGUGUCGGCGCUCAGCAACUCCGUCGCGUCGCGCGCAUUUUUCGGCGGCAAGUUGGCGCAGCAGGACGUGUACCUGCGGGAGUUCCACCAAGUCAUGGAGCUGAUGGGAGGCUUCUGCCUCGUCGACCUCUUCCCGUCGUCCCGGUUGGUGCGGUGGCUGAGCAACGGCGAACGCCGCAUGAAGAAGAGCUACGGCAGCAUCCGACGCAUCAUCGGGGACAUCAUCGACAGGCGCAAGGCUGAGCGGCUCGCCGGUGGCGCCUGCAGCAUCGAAGACGAGGGCCUGCUGGACGCGCUGCUCAGGAUGCAGGAGGAGGACUCGUUAGCAUCACCGCUAACCACAGACGCAAUAGGCACCGUCUUAUUUGACAUACUUGGAGCUGCCACGGAAACCACGGGGCUUGUUUUGGCAUGGACUAUGUCAGAGCUCAUGAAUAGUCCUGAAGCCAUGUCUAAGGCGCAGCUAGAGGUCAGGGGGUUGCUAGGACAAGAUAAAGCUAUCAUUACUAAUACCCACCCCCUCGUUGAACUCCACUAUAUGCAGAUGGUCAUCAAGGAGGUUCUUAGAUUGCAUCCGCCAAGUCCUCUUGUGGCCCGUGCAGCUAGAGAAGAUUGUCAAAUUAUGGGCUAUGACAUUCUUAAAGGCACAACUGUAUACGUUAAUGUCUACGCAAUCUCCCGAGACCCUAAAUACUGGGAAAAUCCAGGAAGUUUUAAGCCAGAAAGGUUUGAAACUAAAAACAUGGAUUACAAUGGGACAUACUUCGAAUUCACUCCCUUUGGUGCUGGGCGGCGACAAUGUCCCGGGAUGUUGUUUAGCUCCGCAAUUAUGGAGAUUGUAUUGGCAAACUUUCUUUAUCACUUUGACUGGAAGCUUUCUGAUGGAGCCGGCCCGGCGUCACUGGACAUGUCCGAGAAAUUUGGGUUAACUGUGGGCAGAAAGUUUGACCUACAACUCAAAGCCACUCCACAAGUCUGGUCUAAUAAUAUGGAGAUCUAG